GAGAAAAAGAACCAAACUGAUAAUUAAAGUUUAAUAAAAAGUCAAAUUAUAUAAAUUUAAGGUGUAUGUGAAUCUCUUAAACAUUUUUGAAUCUAACAGUCUGGGAUCUCAUACUUUUCACCUUGAAUCUUGAAAUAUCUUUUCAAGGUCCCUAAUCAAUUGACUUCAAAAUCAAUAGAUCAUCAAGAUUAUCCUGAAUGGGCCUGGCUUAAUCAGGUGAGAAUCUUAAAAGCUGGUCUGGACCCUCCCCGAAGUGAGAAACUCUCUUCCUUGUUGGCUUUGAAUAAAUAAGCUGUCACAAAAUAGUGGUCAUGUGGAGAAGCCCAUGUAGCAAAGCACUGUGAGUGACUCCUUUGGAGCCGAGGGUGGCCUUCAGCAAGAAACUAAAACCCUCAGUUCGAUACUGCAAGGAACAGAAUUCUGCUGACAGUAUGAGGGAGCUUGGAAGUGGAACUCUCCCCAGUCGAGCCUCUGAUGACCCAGUGGAUGCUUGGAUUGCAACUCGGUGAGGCCUGAAAGCAGAGAGCUCAACUCAGUUCGCUUCUGACCUGCAGAAACUGUGAGGAUAAUUAUGGAAACAUGAAAAACAGCUUCCACUGCUAAGUAAAACCCAACUUCCGUUUUUCAGAAUUAGAAGUUUUGUUGUAAAAAUUUUUAACCCAAUGAACAUAUUUGCUUUAGAUUUAUGAGUUAAGAUAGUUUCCAAACCUGAAGGCACAACUGAGGAUAAAAGUAAAUGGAAGGGGACAUUAAGGAGUCAGUGGUCAUAGGAAAGAAAGCACACCGAACAGUGUCAUCAGUAAACUACUCUAACCCCAGGACACUAACACCCUUGGAAAAAGUGCAUGGCCAAUAAUGCUUUUAUGGGUAUACUUAAUAAUUUUCUCCCAUGAUAAAAAUUAAAACCAAAGUGUUUCAUGGAGUCAUUCUGAGAUAAUCUUUGAAAUAUUAUCAAAAAGGAACUGGUCUAUUUUAUACUUCAGGGAGGGGAAAAUGUUCACAUUUUAGAUAGCAUUCUGUGAUUAUUUUUAAUGGGAAAAUAAAAUAUAGGUGACUUUUCCAGGAAUCAAUAUCCUCUUUUCUCCAUUCUUGGUGUUUUGCAGGCUGAUUAAUUUGCAGCGGUUGAGUUUGAUUGCCACUGAAGCAGAAAGCAUUAUAGAUUCUCUGUUAUUCUUCAAGCCACUUGGCUAAAGUCUACAGUUCUGUCUCUGUGUAUUUAUCUACCUUUCCACAUGGCGCUUAGCACCGGAGCUUUGGGCCUCUCCUAAACAUAUUGUGAAAAUCUUUUGUGCUGAAUUCUCAAGUCUUGCUGUGAAUAGGAGAUAGAAACUUGAAAGUUUUCAGCAUCUGUAAAGUGAAAGAAAGCAACAGAAGGCAUAGCACUGUUUGGAUUUGUUGCUCUAGAAAAAGCUGAAGAUGAAUGAUCUGUAAAUAUUUCUGCUUUUAGUGCUUUUAACCAGCUCUGUUCUUAUCUGCUGCUUGGCUCUCCUUUUAGUAUGAGUUUUUCUUAUCCUUUUUAUAGCCACAUUAUGGUUUUUUAAUGGAGAUAUUGAAUGAUCCAAAUUAUUAAGUAAAUUGAUGGCAGGAAAAAAAGUUAAAUGAAUGGUUUACAUUUCUUGGAAAGCAAAUGCUAAAAUCAGGAGUAUCACCUGCUCUUUUCUUGAUGUAAUUAUUAUUAUUUUUGACUGAAUAUGGAAGUGGUCAUUGCAAAUGAUAAAUAAACUUUAUUAGAGGAGGUGAUUCAAACUUGUGAAGAUGAAAAAGUACAAUAUCAUCACUUAAAAAAUGAAAUAUAAUCCUGGAGAAUAUACUCUACAUGUAGUGUAUGGAUUUCUCCCCUUUUCCAUUUCUGUCAUUUUGCUUAUAAUAGUCUCUCUGGCAGAAAGUAGAGAGAAAAAAGUUGGUCAGUUUAUUGAUUCCUAUUAAUAUGGCAGCUUUUCUAUAAUUGUUACCUUGAACUCUGCUCAAAU